UCUGACAGACUUAUCACCAAGGUACUCACUACACAGUUUCAUGGCUAGGAAGUGGGCUAUGGCCCCUGGAGGUACAUGAUAUGAACAGCAAACAGUGGGACAUAGUUUCACUUUCCAGUUUCAUGGAACAGAUAAAUUCAGAUUUCUAGUGGCCCAGCUAGUACAUAUUUCUCCAGAGAAUCUGGCCUGACCACAGUAUUAUCGAGGCAGACACCCAAGGCUGAAGAGCAUCGUCCUCCAGAGACAUGGGGGGUGCUUUAGUUCCUCUGGAGCUAACAUCCUCUGCUAUGUGAGCACUUGCCAGAGCGCUGAGAAGGAACUGAAAAGCUUCCUGAGAUGGGCCCGGUAGUAAUGUGAUUCUGACCUCUGGACAUCUGGAAUCACCACUUUUCCUUGUGAUGCGUUCGAGUACAUAUAGAUGACACAGGACAAUCUUCCAUGUGACAGCAAUACCCUCAUCUAUAUCUGCGUGUUAUGUUAAUACGAAAGAGAAGCAUAGUAGGGAAGGGAGAAGAUGGAGCAGGCUGACCACUAAAUACGGGCAGGGGAAGGCAAGAAGAAACAGUUUUGUCUUAGCUCAAGGACAAGUGGAGCUGGUGUGUUCUGUGCUGACGGAUGAGCAUUGGGAGCAGAAAACAACUGGAGCACGCUAGCGGCUGCCAAGCAUUGCUACCCUUCAAAGAGGCUGAAUGAGAUGCCUCUGGCUGGUGUCCAGGGUGAAAUGUGACUCUUGAACAUGACAAAAACUAACGACAAAA